UAUUCUGAAAUACCCAGGCUAAAUUCAGAAAACAUCAUCACUCUUUGGUAUGCUUUCGUUUGUUACAAUCAGUAAGCUAAAGGAUUUCAUUGUGAUUUAUUCGAAUUAGUGAUUCUGAAAGAUAACGUUAUUUCUGCGAAACAACAGUAUUGUAUAGUGAUGCAGAAAAGAUGGAAAUGAUUUCAAUUUAUGGCGAAGCUGGAAGGAACACAGUACAAGCCUCUUGAUUGUACGCAGAAAGAUACCCUGAGAGAAAUUAUCCUUCUCGGCAAAGUUUUAGCCGUAUAGUUUAAUUAUUGUAAAACAAGGAGUAUUAAAUCAUCGAAAAGAAAACGAUCAAGCCUGUUACUGGAGAUGUCGACAUUUUUGUAUUGGUUAAGGUUUCAUCCGUUCCACAUUACUUUGUAUCAGGAACUUCAUAGCAGCGAUUUCGAGAAUCAUGUUGCUUUUUACACAUGGGCAUCGCAGCAAGUACAAAGGAAUAGAAAUUUUGUUUAAGAUGUUCUCUUCACUGAUGAAGCUAUUUUUACCAACCACGGACAACUGAAUACAUAUAAUAUGCAUUACUGGUGCAUUGAAAACCUGAAAUGACUUCAACAAGUCGAACAUCAGCAUUCAUGGGAUGUAAAUGUAUGGUGUGAGAUCCUUGAUGAUAGCAUUAUUGGACCAUUUUUUAUCGAUAACAUUUUAAAUGGUAACAAAUAUGCUAAUUUUUUAACUAACGAUUUAUCCGAUUUACUGGAAAACGUUUCUUUAUUGCAAAGAGAUAGAAUAUUUUUUCAACAUAACAGUUGCCUAGCACACAAAUGUAUUAAUAGCUCGCCAAGUAUUAGACCAAACAUUUCCGCAACACUGGAUCGAUCAUGGUGCAGAUAUCUGAUGGCCUACACGUUUGCCGGACCUUACAAUUCUACAUUUUUUUCUUUGGGUGCAAUAAAAUCAGAAGUUUACAAUAUUCCCAUAACACCGGAAGAUACGAGAGAACAGAUUAGAACCACAUAUAAUAGUGAGAAAGUCAUAAGGAGAGCCAGAAAAUCAUCAUUCAUUACUUGUUUACAGAAAUUGAUUGAAGUUAAUGGACAUCAUUUUGAAUAUUCGUUAGAAUAAAUUUUCUUUUAUCAACCA